UACGUAGGAUGCAAGCGUUUGUCCGGAAUUAUUGGGCGUAAAGAGCGCGCAGGCGGUAACUCAAGUCAGAUGUGAAAUAUCCGGGCUUAACCCGGAGGGGUCAUUUGAAACUGAGUAACUAGAGUACAGCAGAGGAUAGCGGAAUUCCCGGUGUAGUGGUGAAAUGCGUAGAUAUCGGGAGGAACAUCAGGUGGCGAAGGCGGCCUGCUGGGCUGUUGCUGACGCUGAGGCGCGACAGCGUGGGGAGCAAACAGG
rnacentral:rRNA from 1 species